CAGUCGCCACGGGAAUACGAAGGGGGCUAGCGUUGCUCGGAAUGACUGGGCGUAAAGGGCGCGUAGGCGGCGAUCAAAGUCAGGCGUGAAAUUCCUGGGCUCAACCUGGGGGCUGCGUUUGAUACUUGGUUGCUAGAGUGAGGAAGAGGGUCGUGGAAUUCCCAGUGUAGAGGUGAAAUUCGUAGAUAUUGGGAAGAACACCGGUGGCGAAGGCGGCGACCUGGUCCUUGACUGACGCUGAGGCGCGAAAGCGUGGGGAGCAAACAGGAUUAGAUACCCCAGUAGUCCCUGUCUCUUAUAA
rnacentral:rRNA from 1 species